rnacentral:pre_miRNA from 1 species
AGUGAAAUUAUUGACUUAUGUGGUAAUUAUAUUUAACCUUCUGAAUAACUACCAGACUGUUUCCCAAGACAGCUGUACCAUAUUAUAUUCCCACCAGCAGU